ensembl:lincRNA
CCAGCAGUCCAGAGCAGAGGAGAGCAGGAGAGGGCUAAGAAUGGAUCUGAGAGCAACAGGCACACACCUGGCACAGAAAAGGAGGAGAGAACCAGCAGCUUGGCUUGAGGGAGCCACAGGGCUGAAAUGCCACACAGCCUUCCUUCGGUGCCAGGAGAGGCUCUGGGCCUGCCCCGUAGAAGUCUGAGAGGCUGCUACACACAGGAGACUGGAGACUUGAAAACCCCUCUGCUCUCCCAUAUGCAAUGUGGCCAUUCCCAGAUCUUCCUCCCAGGCCUGCUUGGAAUUUCCCUCAGCUUGCGGAUUGCAGUUUUCACUCAGCAGACAAAACCACAGCAGAACUCAGUAAACAGCUGCACUGUGAUGGCCUGCAGGUUCUUACACCUGCCCGGGGAAUCCCCUUUGCUUCAUCCCAUCACACCUAAAGAAAAGGAGAGCCGCAGGAGGUCUGACAGUGGGUGCAUGGGGCCCAGCUGGGCGGCCUGCCCAAGCUCCUGCCCAUGCUGGCCUUUGUUCCUCGGGCAUUUCCAAAGCUCAGGGCUUGGGCCUUUGUCCAUUCUCAGGAUCCGGUAAACGAUGCCUGACCACCCAAAACCCAGCAAUCUUUCCUGCCUCCAAACAAAGAGGCCUUUUGAUUUUUCUUACUCUCUUGGCCCUUACAUGCCAAAAUGUCUUGGGUAAUAAAAAGAAGAUUAUCAGGAAAUACUCACAGAGCACUUACUAUGUUCCAGGUACUAUUUUAAACAUUAUAGUUAUUAACUCAUUGAAUCCCACGAGUUGAGAG